AUUCAGCGGCGGACGGGUGAGUAAUGCCUAGGAAUCUGCCUGGUAGUGGGGGAUAACGUUCGGAAACGGACGCUAAUACCGCAUACGUCCUACGGGAGAAAGCAGGGGACCUUCGGGCCUUGCGCUAUCAGAUGAGCCUAGGUCGGAUUAGCUAGUUGGUGAGGUAAUGGCUCACCAAGGCGACGAUCCGUAACUGGUCUGAGAGGAUGAUCAGUCACACUGGAACUGAGACACGGUCC
rnacentral:rRNA from 1 species